rnacentral:rRNA from 1 species
AGUGAACGCUGGCGGUAGGCCUAACACAUGCAAGUCGAACGGCAGCACAGUAAGAGCUUGCUCUUACGGGUGGCGAGUGGCGGACGGGUGAGGAAUACAUCGCAAUCUACUUUUUCGGGGGGGAUAACGUAGGGAAACUUACGCUAAUACCGCAUACGACCUACGGGUGAAAGCAGUGGAUCUUCGGACCUUGCGCGAUUGAAUGAGACGAUGUCGGAUUAGCUAGUUGGCGGGGUAAAGGCCCACCAAGGCGACGAUCCGUAGCGGGUCUGAGAGGAUGAUCAGCCACACUGGAACUGAGACACGGUCCAGACUCCUACGGGAGGCAGCAGUGGGGAAUAUUGGACAAUGGGCGCAAGCCUGAUCCAGCCAUACCGCGUGAGUGAAGAAGGCCUUCGGGUUGUAAAGCCCUUUUGUUGGGAAAGAAAAGCAGCAGGUUAAUACCCCGCUGUUCUGACGGUACCCAAAGAAUAAGCACCGGCUAACUUCGUG